UACGGAGGGUGCGAGCGUUGUUCGGAAUCACUGGGCGUAAAGCGCGUGUAGGCGGCCUUUUCAGUCUGAUGUGAAAGCCCGGGGCUCACCCCCGGAAGUGCAUUGGAAACUGGGAGGCUAGAGUACCGGAGAGGAGGGUAGAAUUCCUGGUGUAGCGGUGAAAUGCGUAGAUAUCAGGAGGAAUACCGGCGGCGAAGGCGGCCCUCUGGAUCGUUGCUGACGCUGAGACGCGAAAGCGUGGGGAGCAAACAGG
rnacentral:rRNA from 1 species